CGCGCAGGUGGGUUAGCAAGUCAGAGGUGAAAUCCUACAGCUUAACUGUAGAACUGCCUUUGAUACUGCUAAUCUUGAGUAUGGAAGAGAGAGAUGGAAUUCCAGGUGUAGUGGUGAAAUACGUAGAUAUCUGGAAGAACACCAGUGGCGUAGGCGGUCUCUUGGUCCAAUACUGACGCUGAGGCGCGAAAGCGUGGGGAGCAAACA
rnacentral:rRNA from 1 species